rnacentral:lncRNA from 1 species
GCGGCUCCGGGAGAGGCGGCUGCCGGGCUCUUGCUGUCAACAGCAGCGGCCGACGGCGGCGCUCCUCCAACGAGCCACUGACCACCGAACGAGCUGCAGCAGCUCCAGGCCGCGACUCCGGCGAAACAGCAGCGGUAGUUGGCGGCGACUUCGGACGAGCUAACGGCGGCGGCGUUCCUCCAGCAGGCGUUUUGACCACCGAUCUCAGACAGCAGCGGCAACAGCAACACCUGUCGGCGGCGGUUGCGCCGGAUCCUUCGCGG